AGUUCCCAGAAUUCUGACACGGAGGCAUGUGCCUAUGAGAUCUUCUUUUCAGGCCUCCAUCCUUCCUGGCCCACCUUUAGUACUGAGGAAUUACAGCAGAAAACAUGAAGAAUUGGUGCUUGCUGACUUGCCUGGGAUUGUAAGUUGUAUCCUGGUACUCUGAGCCUCAUGGAUUUGGGAAGGGAAAUUCUCCCUCAAUGGAACGACUUCCAUCCAAGACUGUUCUGCUCUUCAUCUCCAGAAAGAAGCAAAGGACCUCAAAUCUCAGCAUGUACACCAGUAGGAUCAGGCUGAACAGUUUCAAGCAUUGUGUUUCAGUCCUCAGAGCCACCAUACAAGGUACAGUCUGUUUUUUGAACAAAUGGCACAAUUGAGUCAUGGUGAAGUCAACCUUGUGGAUAAGAAGAAGGAUUAACUCUGGCCCUUGGUAGAGCACUGAUCUCGUAUGAUCAAGGCCCUGGAUCUAACUAUGGGAAAUGAAAAAGAAAUUUCAAACAUAAAGACACACACAAACAAUUUAGAACUACCAAUGCAGCUACUUUCAACUUCCCUGUACCUUCCUGAAAUGUUUCAAAUGUAAUAUUGAAACUGAAUAUUUGUGGUGUCUUGAGUUCAAACAUUCAUUCAUUGAUUUACGUUUCUGAGGAAUGAUGGGUACUCAUCUAGUCUCAGUCCAUUUAAGAUUCACAAACAUUGUCCCAGACAAUGAGACCCAUCUUUCUUCAGCAUAGAGAAGAUGAAUCACUAGACUAUGCACGUAGCAGUAAAGGGGCUUGAUACAGCCAAACUUUGGCUCAGACCCUCUGGCCAGGCCCACUUGGAUAAUGUGCCUGCUUUUGCACAGUUGUCAGUCUUAUCAGCAAGUGUCCUGUGAGCAAAAAAACCAAGAAGACUCCUCCAGUAAGAGUAAAAGAUGCUUGUGACUGUCUGCAGUUAAGGUAGUAGAGUUCUCAUAACUUGGGCCUUCAUUUCUCCAGGCCCAGCUGUCCCCUGGCUUUGGCAGUGGCAUAUUGAUGGGACUGUCUGUUCUAGAAAACACAUGCUGGGAUGUUAGAAAGGAUGAGCUCUCAGCUUCCAUAGUGAUAUCUCUUUUGGAGCCCUUACUUGAGGGCCUAGUACCAAAUCAGGCCAUAUUCACAGAUGGUUCUUUCUUUCCCACCACUGAUAAUCAGGCCUUUCUUUAUUUUAUUCAUAUUACUGUUGUUGAUAGAGUCUCAUGUUUCCCAGGCAGGCACAGAGUCAUGAUCCUUCUGCCCUAUGUCCAUGGUGUUGAAAUAAGAGGCUUGUCACCAC
rnacentral:lncRNA from 1 species